rnacentral:lncRNA from 1 species
AAUUAUUUUUUUUUCUUGAUAUAUAAUAUUAGAAUAUUUAUUUUGAUAGUCGAAUAUUUUUACAGUAUAAGAUGUAACAUACCGAAACUUCGGUAGAAAAUAUUGGACUUUAGUCAAAUUGACUAAAGCGUGCGAAUUGAAUGGUUGGGCAAGUUCCAAUUAACAUUCCAACAGUAUUGGAAGGGUUAAAAGUGAGUUCUAAAAGAGUUAAAAAGGUUUUAGCGUUAUUCGGCGCGAAAUAGAAUCGAAACGGAGCCAAAAAUCAAGUCUGGGCAAAGUG